UGACCACGAGACCGAUAGCGAACAAGUACCGUGAGGGAAGUUGAAAAGAACUUUGAAGAGAGAGUUCAAGAGUACGUGAAACCGUUCAGGGGUAAACCUGAGAAACCCGAAAGAUCGAAAGGAGAGAUUCAAUGUUAUCGUUGUCUUCCAUUUAUUGGCGUGCGAUUGACCGGGAUUCGUCCUGCGAUACGCCGUCGGUUUAUGCGUUAGGCGGCGAUGGCAUGCACUUCUCUCUCAGUAGGACGUCGCGACCCGUUUGGUGUCGAUCUACGACCGCGGCGGUAGCCUGUCACGAAUUUAUUCGCGUCAGACCCCGCGUGCUCCGGUCGACUGCCAGACGGUAUAAACGAUAUGGUAUAGGGUCGCUUUUAAGCGUUCGGCCGGUUGCAAGCACGGACGGUUAUUGGCCGUCGGACCUGGUCCGGCAUCGAUGCCGCCUCGAGCUGUUAGCUGCCGUGUCCUCGGACGGACUCUAUUACCGGUCAGCGAUGCUAUUGCUUUGGGUACUUUCAGGACCCGUCUUGAAACACGGACCAAGGAGUCUAGCAUGUGCGCGAGUCAUUGGGAAAUACAAAACCUAAAGGCGCAAUGAAAGUAAAGGUUCGCUUAAGUGAACUGAGGGAUGACGGACCGCAUCUACGGAUGCGUGCUCGCAAUCCCGGGCGUCUCACUCUCAUUGCGAGAAGAGGCGCACCAGAGCGUACACGCUGGGACCCGAAAGAUGGUGAACUAUGCCCGGUCAGGUCGAAGUCAGGAAAACCCUGAUGGAGGACCGUAGCGAUUCUGACGUGCAAAUCGAUCGUCGAAACUGGGUAUAGGGGCGAAAGACUAAUCGAACCAUCUAGUAGCUGGUUCCCUCCGAAGUUUCCCUCAGGAUAGCUGGCAUUCGAUGAGCGAGUCUCAUCCGGUAAAGCGAAUGAUUAGAGGCCUUGGGGCCGAAACGACCUCAACCUAUUCUCAAACUUUAAAUGGGUGAGAUCUCUGGCUUGCUUGAAUAGUGAAGCCAGAGAUUUGGAUCAGAGUGCCUAGUGGGCCAUUUUUGGUAAGCAGAACUGGCGCUGUGGGAUGAACCAAACGCCGAGUUAAGGCGCCUAAACGACGCUAAUGGGAUACCAUGAAAGGCGUUGGUUGCUUAAGACAGCAGGACGGUGGCCAUGGAAGUUGGAAUCCGCUAAGGAGUGUGUAACAACUCACCUGCCGAAGCAACUAGCCCUGAAAAUGGAUGGCGCUGAAGCGUCGUGCCUAUACUCGGCCGCCAGGGCAUGAGGAGCGUUCAUUACAGUUCGUUUUGAAGCCCUGGUGAGUAGGAGGGUCGCGGUGGUGUGCGCAGAAGGGUUUGGGCGUGAGCCUGCCUGGAGCCGCCAUCGGUGCAGAUCUUGGUGGUAGUAGCAAAUACUCCAGCGAGGCCCUGGAGGACUGACGUGGAGAAGGGUUUCGUGUGAACAGCCGUUGCACACGAGUCAGUCGAUCCUAAGCCCCAGGAGAAAUCCUAUGUUGAUGUUGGUGUAUUUUAUUUUGAAUAAAAUCUCACACCCAUCGGGCGAAAGGGAAUCCGGUUCCUAUUCCGGAAUCCGGCAGCGGAACCGUUUACAAGUCGGGCCCUCGCAAGAGAGUUCGUCGGGGUAACCCAAAAUGACCUGGAGACGCCGUCGGGAGAUACGGGGAGAGUUUUCUUUUCUGUAUGAGCGUUCGAGUUCCCUGGAAUCCUCUAGCAGGGAGAUAGGGUUUGGAACGCGAAGAGCACCGCAGUUGCGGCGGUGUCCGUAUCUUCCCCUCGGACCUUGAAAAUCCAGGAGAGGGCCACGGUAGGUGUCGCGCCGGUUCGUACCCAUAUCCGCAGCAGGUCUCCAAGGUGAAGAGCCUCUAGUCGAUAGAUUAAUGUAGGUAAGGGAAGUCGGCAAAUUGGAUCCGUAACUUCGGGAUAAGGAUUGGCUCUGAGGAUCGGGGCGUGUCGGGCUUGAUCGGGAAGCGGGUGUCGGCUGACGUGCCGGGCCUGGGCGAGGUGAAACGGUCCUUGUGACUUGGAUCCGAGCUCGGUCCCGUGCCUUGGCCCCCCGCGGAUCUUUCUUGCUGCGAGGCUUCUGUGCCGGCUUCGGUCGGUCGGUCGUCCUCUUCGGCCGCCAUUCAACGGUCAGCUCAGAACUGGCACGGACUAGGGGAAUCCGACUGUCUAAUUAAAACAAAGCAUUGCGAUGGCCCUAGCGGGUGUUGACGCAAUGUGAUUUCUGCCCAGUGCUCUGAAUGUCAACGUGAAGAAAUUCAAGCAAGCGCGGGUAAACGGCGGGAGUAACUAUGACUCUCUUAAGAUUUAAAUUUGGGUGGACCCUCUGGUCUGCCCCAACCGACUAAUAGAGUUGGGUAUAAUUGCCGUUUUCCUACCUGUGAAAAAUCUUUUGCAACUUCGGUUGGCCGUGGUGUGCAUGAGCAACGAGUACAUACGGACUGGUACGACCAGGAACUUUCAAAGAUUGUGCCUAAAAAAGCACGAUGGACCGAAGAGGAACAAGUUUUGAUGGCCAAGAGGAGGCUGCACUAAUUCAAAAGGGUGUAACCCAAAUAAAUAAAGCUCUCCUGUUAUUAACACCAGGACGAACGUUAGAAGCCAUUAAAGGCCAAAGACGCUCUCCUAAAUAUAAAGGCCAGGUCGCGGGUUUUCUAUCUGCACCCGCUGAUCAGGAAAUAAAUAAUUCUUGUUCUUCUGACACUAACUCUGACACAAGAAAUGAACUCAU
rnacentral:rRNA from 1 species